rnacentral:rRNA from 1 species
CAGUCGCCGCGGGAACACGUAGGGUGCGAGCGUUAAUCGGAAUUACUGGGCGUAAAGCGUGCGCAGGCGGCUUUGUAAGACAGGCGUGAAAUCCCCGGGCUCAACCUGGGAAUGGCGCUUGUGACUGCAAAGCUAGAGUGCGGCAGAGGGGGAUGGAAUUCCGCGUGUAACAGUGAAAUGCGUAGAUAUGCGGAGGAACACCGAUGGAGAAGGCAAUCCCCUGGGCCUGCACUGACGCUCAUGCACGAAAGCGUGGGGAGCAAACAGGAUUAGAUACCCCCGUAGUCCCUGUCUCUUAUAC